AAUCAACGCUGGCGGCGUGCCUAACACAUGCAAGUCGAACGCGAAAGCCCCGCAAGGGGUAAGUAGAGUGGCCAACGGGUGAGUAACACGUGGGUGACCUGCCUUCGAGUGGGGGAUAACGUCCCGAAAGGGACGCUAAUACCGCAUGACAUCCUGCUUUUGAAAAAGCGGAGAUCAAAGCUGGGGAUCGCAAGACCUAGCGCUUGAAGAGGGGCCCGCGCCUGAUUAGCUAGUUGGUGAGGUAACGGCUCACCAAGGCGACGAUCAGUAUCCGGCCUGAGAGGGCGGACGGACACACUGGGACUGAGACACGGCCCAGACUCCUACGGGAGGCAGCAGUGGGGAAUUGUUCGCAAUGGGCGCAAGCCUGACGACGCAACGCCGCGUGGAGGACGAAGAUCUUCGGGUCGUAAACUCCUGUCGAGCGGGACGAACGCUUCGCGGAUGAAUAAUCCGCGGAAUUGACGGUACCGCUAAAGGAAGCCCCGGCUAACUCCGUG
rnacentral:rRNA from 1 species